UACGUAGGGGGCAAGCGUUAUCCGGAUUUACUGGGUGUAAAGGGAGCGUAGACGGCAUGGCAAGUCAGAUGUGAAAGCCCGGGGCUCAACCCCGGGACUGCAUUUGAAACUGUCAGGCUGGAGUGCAGGAGAGGUAAGCGGAAUUCCUAGUGUAGCGGUGAAAUGCGUAGAUAUUAGGAGGGACACCAGUGGCGAAGGCGGCUUACUGGACUGUAACUGACGUUGAGGCUCGAAAGCGUAGGGAGCAAACAGG
rnacentral:rRNA from 1 species